rnacentral:rRNA from 1 species
UCCUACGGGAGGCAGCAGUGGGGAAUAUUGCACAAUGGGCGAAAGCCUGAUGCAGCAACGCCGCGUGAGUGAUGAAGGCCUUCGGGUCGUAAAGCUCUUUGAUCAGGGAUGAUAAUGACAGUACCUGAAAAACAAGCCACGGCUAACUACGUGCCAGCAGCCGCGGUAAUACGUAGGUGGCGAGCGUUGUCCGGAAUUACUGGGCGUAAAGGAUGCGUAGGUGGAUAUUUAAGUGGGAUGUGAAAUCCCCGGGCUCAACCCGGGAACUGCAUUCCAAACUGGGUAUCUAGAGUGCAGGAGAGGAAAGCGGAAUUCCUAGUGUAGCGGUGAAAUGCGUAGAUAUUAGGAGGAACACCAGUGGCGAAGGCGGCUUUCUGGACUGUAACUGACACUGAGGCAUGAAAGCGUGGGUAGCAAACAGGAUUAGAUACCCGAGUAGUCU